rnacentral:SRP_RNA from 1 species
GCCGGGCACGGUGGCUUGUGCCUGUAAUCCAAGCGCCAGGGAGGCUGAGGCUGGCGGACGGCUUGAGCCCGGGGGUUCUGGGCUGCAGUGAGCUGUGCCGAGCGGGUGUCCGCGCUAAGGCCGGCAUCGAUAUGGUGGUCCUGGGGGAGCUGUGGGCCACCAGGUCGCCUAAGGAGGGGUGAACCGGCCCAGGUCGGAGAC